rnacentral:rRNA from 1 species
GAUGAACGCUGGCGGCGUGCCUAAUACAUGCAAGUCGAGCGAACGGACGAGAAGCUUGCUUCUCUGAUGUUAGCGGCGGACGGGUGAGUAACACGUGGAUAACCUACCUAUAAGACUGGGAUAACUUCGGGAAACCGGAGCUAAUACCGGAUAAUAUUUUGAACCGCAUGGUUCAAAAGUGAAAGACGGUCUUGCUGUCACUUAUAGAUGGAUCCGCGCUGCAUUAGCUAGUUGGUAAGGUAACGGCUUACCAAGGCAACGAUGCAUAGCCGACCUGAGAGGGUGAUCGGCCACACUGGAACUGAGACACGGUCCAGACUCCUACGGGAGGCAGCAGUAGGGAAUCUUCCGCAAUGGGCGAAAGCCUGACGGAGCAACGCCGCGUGAGUGAUGAAGGUCUUCGGAUCGUAAAACUCUGUUAUUAGGGAAGAACAUAUGUGUAAGUAACUGUGCACAUCUUGGCGGUACCUAAUCAGAAAGCCACGGCUAACUACGUGCCAGCAGCCGCGGUAAUACGUAGGUGGCAAGCGUUAUCCGGAAUUAUUGGGCGUAAAGCGCGCGUAGGCGGUUUUUUAAGUCUGAUGUGAAAGCCCACGGCUCAACCGUGGAGGGUCAUUGGAAACUGGAAAACUUGAGUGCAGAAGAGGAAAGUGGAAUUCCAUGUGUAGCGGUGAAAUGCGCAGAGAUAUGGAGGAACACCAGUGGCGAAGGCGACUUUCUGGUCUGUAACUGACGCUGAUGUGCGAAAGCGUGGGGAUCAAACAGGAUUAGAUACCCUGGUAGUCCACGCCGUAAACGAUGAGUGCUAAGUGUUAGGGGGUUUCCGCCCCUUAGUGCUGCAGCUAACGCAUUAAGCACUCCGCCUGGGGAGUACGACCGCAAGGUUGAAACUCAAAGGAAUUGACGGGGACCCGCACAAGCGGUGGAGCAUGUGGUUUAAUUCGAAGCAACGCGAAGAACCUUACCAAAUCUUGACAUCCUUUGACAACUCUAGAGAUAGAGCCUUCCCCUUCGGGGGACAAAGUGACAGGUGGUGCAUGGUUGUCGUCAGCUCGUGUCGUGAGAUGUUGGGUUAAGUCCCGCAACGAGCGCAACCCUUAAGCUUAGUUGCCAUCAUUAAGUUGGGCACUCUAAGUUGACUGCCGGUGACAAACCGGAGGAAGGUGGGGAUGACGUCAAAUCAUCAUGCCCCUUAUGAUUUGGGCUACACACGUGCUACAAUGGACAAUACAAAGGGCAGCGAAACCGCGAGGUCAAGCAAAUCCCAUAAAGUUGUUCUCAGUUCGGAUUGUAGUCUGCAACUCGACUACAUGAAGCUGGAAUCGCUAGUAAUCGUAGGUCAGCAUGCUACGGUGAAUACGUUCCCGGGUCU